rnacentral:rRNA from 2 species
AAUACGACUCUCGGCAACGGAUAUCUCGGCUCUCGCAUCGAUGAAGAACGUAGCGAAAUGCGAUACUUGGUGUGAAUUGCAGAAUCCCGUGAACCAUCGAGUCUUUGAACGCAAGUUGCGCCCGAGGCCUUUAGGUCGAGGGC